rnacentral:rRNA from 1 species
AGGAAUAUUGCGCAAUGGGGGAAACCCUGACGCAGCGACGCCGCGUGAGUGAGGAAGGUUUUCGGAUCGUAAAGCUCUGUCAGAAGGGAAGAAGUGUUAUAUGUUUAAUACGCAU